rnacentral:rRNA from 1 species
GAUGAACGCUGGCGGCGUGCUUAACACAUGCAAGUCGAACGAAGCACUUUAUUUGAUUUCCUUCGGGACUGAUUAUUUUGUGACUGAGUGGCGGACGGGUGAGUAACGCGUGGGUAACCUGCCUUGUACAGGGGGAUAACAGUUGGAAACGGCUGCUAAUACCGCAUAAGCGCACAGCAUCGCAUGAUGCAGUGUGAAAAACUCCGGUGGUAUAAGAUGGACCCGCGUUGGAUUAGCUAGUUGGUGAGGUAACGGCCCACCAAGGCGACGAUCCAUAGCCGACCUGAGAGGGUGACCGGCCACAUUGGGACUGAGACGCGGCCCAAACUCCUACGGGAGGCAGCAGUGGGGAAUAUUGCACAAUGGGCGAAAGCCUGAUGCAGCGACGCCGCGUGAGCGAAGAAGUAUUUCGGUAUGUAAAGCUCUAUCAGCAGGGAAGAUAAUGACGGUACCUGACGAAGAAGCACCGGCUAAAUACGUG